rnacentral:rRNA from 1 species
CUACGGGCGGCAGCAGUGAGGAAUAUUGCACAAUGGGGGGAACCCUGAUGCAGCAACGCCGUGUGGAGGAUGACGCAUUUCGGUGUGUAAACUCCUUUUAUAUGUCAAGAAAAUGACGGUAGCAUAUGAAUAAGCACCGGCUAACUCCGUGCCAGCAGCCGCGGUAAUACGGAGGGUGCAAGCGUUACUCGGAAUCACUGGGCGUAAAGGAUGCGUAGGCGGGUUGGAAAGUCAGGUGUGAAAUCCUACAGCUUAACUGUAGAACUGCACUUGAAACUUCUAAUCUAGAGUAUGGGAGGGGGAGAUGGAAUUAGUGGUGUAGGGGUAAAAUCCGUAGAUAUCACUAGGAAUACCUAAAGCGAAGGCGAUCUCCUGGAACAUUACUGACGCUAAGGCGUGAAAGCGUGGGGAGCAAACAGGAUUAGAUACCCCUGUAGUC